CACACACUUUCCCUCCCCCCCCCCUCCAUCUCCGCACUUCCCUCCAAGUUAACGUAGCUGCAGCCGCCGUCUUUGCCACAGACCCCGGCGACGGAACGACUUCGGAGUUGUAAAUUCUGUCGCGGAUUGCGGCACUAAGGGGUCCGGCGGCCAUGUUGAGAGCGUGGGAGGACGAGGAGGAGGAGGAGAGAGGAGCAAGCGAGGAGCAAGCGAGGGGCAGCCGCAGUGAGACAAAGACGAACUUUGCGGCGAACCUGAGUCCGGGCCGCGCGGCGAGGAGCGAAGUCUCCCCCCCCCCCCGUUUUUGCCGAUGAGCCCCAGAAAAGUUCCCCCCCAAAUCAGGGCAAACGCGGGGGUCCCGAGCGCGUAACGCGAGUUGUGUUUACGCGCGGAGCGACAGAUUCUGCUGCUUGCUGCUGCUUGCUGUCGGUUGACAGGAGUCUGGGAAGGCAACGUAGGCCGAUGGACUAAGCAUCGAUUAUCACUCACUCCGUUACGAGGUUACCCAGUUGGAUAAUUCGUUGCGUGCGCGCUGCCACGAAACCCCCACGCGGCUCCCCAAGCGAAGGGGCGCGGGGCGCCAACCCGCCGCUCGUCGCAGUUGCGAGCGACAGUAAAAUAAUGCAACCGCUCUGACCUCAGUUUUGGCCGAACAUUUCCCAACCGAGUUGCGCGCGAGUUCGCGUUCGAGAGUCCAGUUGCACGCGACUCCCCCGGCGGUGGUGAUUGUUGGUGUUGAUGUUGGUGGUGGUGGUUGUUGUUGGUGGCGCGCUGCGCUAAGGAACCCGACGAUGAGCUGAAUCGGUCCUCCGUCUACCUCUUUGUCGUUGUUGAUGGUGGAGGUUGUUGAUGGUGGAGGUUGCAUGCAACUCGCGCUGAAAGACGGCGACUCUCAACCAUCGCCGACCCGCCGACAUAGAGUCCUGUACUUUAAUGGAACCACGAAAGAGCUAGCGCCUCUUUCUCUCUCUCUCUCUCCACAUUGAAACAAACGUGUAAUAAUAAUAACAACAGCGAUGGGUUCAUUCUGUUCGCGCAACAUAUCCUCUGCACGGUCAUCUCUGCGAGAGCAUCUUGUCGAGUGCGGAGUUGUUGUUGUUGUCGCUGCUUCAAAUCACAGUCGUUGAUUGCGCGAUCGCCUGAUCGGUUUCGCUAUUUCGAGCGGGCAGAGUCUGACUUGGGCACGCGAGCAGAUGCCCGGCGUGGACUGCCCGGUGUUUUAUAAUCGGCAAAGACGAAUGAAUGGGCACAGACGGCCAGGAAUGUUCGGUCGAGAGCGCGCAUUUAAGUCGUCAUUAUUAUUGUUGGAAUUUGUUAACAAGAGACGCCAACGGAACCGCCUCGACUUGGCGCUCGCGGGCGUCACUCAAACGGCGCUGAUUCUGAGCACGGGGAUUCUCCAUCAUUCGUAGAAUCGUGAGACGCGUGGAUGAAGAGAGAGAGAGAGGUGGUGGGUGGGAGGCUCUGAUGUGGUAUUAGGCGAAUGUAAUGUUGUCGUUAUUAUGUUUUGAUAUUAUUCUUGAAAGUAACAAUUAAAACGAAGAAGUCCCUACGACUAACGUGUGCAUUCUCUACAUUUUGGUUUUAUUUUUGUGAAAAAAACCCUCCAAAAUAAUGCGAUGAUACAAACAAAUUUCGGCAUGUUGCAUUUUCGGCAUGUUGCAUUAGCAUGUUGCAUGAGCAUGUUACAUUAGCUAAAACUCGUAUUGCGUUCGUGAGUAAGACACGUUUUGGCGUUUGGGGAAAUACAGUGCAGUACUUUAUACAACAAACGCGAUGUUUUUUUUUAGAAGUUAUGCACUGUAUUUAUGUGCAAGUAGCGUGUUACGCACAGACUAGGAAUACGGGUGCCUCCUUCACGAAUAAAAAGGGGCUUGAAGGUCAUGGAGAUAGUAAUACUCGAAGCAUUAAUAUUUUAAAUGUACGUACUUUUGAGACCCACGCCGGGUCAUGAGACUUCCUUUCUGCUGCGUUUCUUCUUUUAUAACGAGGUGCUGGUAAUGCAUUAAAACUGUAAAACCGCACAACUGUCAGCCCUCAUUUGUUUUCUAUAUACACACAAACACACACACAUAUAUAUAAUGGUUACGUGCCUUUAGUCACGGACACACAAACAACUGUGUGGAGUAUACUGCAUCACAUUACGUGCGAGGAGAGUUUAUAAAAUAUAUUCGUAACGUGACAUGAGUAAAUCAGAAUUCCUAAUCAGAAUAUUUAUUUGUGGAGGAAUCCGAUCAACUAUUAAGCUAUUUUUUUUUAAACAGAUGUCCAGUAGGUGCGGCCUGUGUAUUGCACUGCUAGCAAAAACACGCUAGCAGUGCAAUAUACAGGCAUGGCAAACAAAUCACCCAAAAACAUACAGAUUUAACUAAACCAUCCUACCGGGCAAAGCCCACCGUAGGUAUAAAACGUAUUCUUCCAGAAGCGGCCUUGCUAAAAAUUAUAGCUUCAACGAAGUGGCUCAUCAUCCUGCUCUCUCCUCUCGCAGUACUGAAAUCCACCCAACUGCUGUCUUACUGAGUGCGCAUCCAACGUGGUUGUUGCAGAAAGAUGAAGCAAAUUCACAGAUUUUAUAUAGAAUAACGGACGGUACCAUCAAA